GACGAACGCUGGCGGCGUGCUUAACACAUGCAAGUCGAACGGAAAGGCCUCAGCUUGCUGGGGUACUCGAGUGGCGAACGGGUGAGUAACACGUGGGUGAUCUGCCUUGCACUCUGGGAUAAGCUUGGGAAACUGGGUCUAAUACCGGAUAUGAACUGCCUUUAGUGUGGGGGUUGGAAAGUUUUUUCGGUGCAAGAUGAGCUCGCGGCCUAUCAGCUUGUUGGUGGGGUAAUGGCCUACCAAGGCGUCGACGGGUAGCCGGCCUGAGAGGGUGUACGGCCACAUUGGGACUGAGCUACGGCCCAGACUCCUACGGGAGGCGGCAGUGGGGAAUCUUGCACAAUGGGCGGAAGCCUGAUGCAGCGACGCCGCGUGGGGGAUGACGGCCUUCGGGUUGUAAACUCCUUUCGACAGGGACGAAGCUUUUUGUGACGGUACCUGUAUAAGAAGCACCGGCUAACUACGUG
rnacentral:rRNA from 1 species